rnacentral:misc_RNA from 1 species
GAAAUGCGAUAAGUAAUGUGAAUUGCAGAAUUCAGUGAAUCAUCGAAUCUUUGAACGCACCUUGCGCUCCUUGGUAUUCCGAGGAGCAUGCCUGUUUGAGUGUCAUGGAAUUCUCAACUCUAUUUGCUUUUGUGAAUAGAGCUUGGAUUUGGAGGUUUAUUGCUGGUACUUGUGAUCGGCUCCUCUUGAAUGCAUUAGCUCGAACCUUUGCGGAUCAGCUAUCGGUGUGAUAAUUGUCUACGCCGUUGCAGUGAAGCAUAUCAAUGGGCUCGGCUUCCAAUCGUCCUUUACUGGACAAUGACUUUUACCUUUGACCUCAAAUCAGGUAGGAUUACCCGCUGAACUUAAGC